rnacentral:rRNA from 1 species
GACGAACGCUGGCGGCGUGCUUAACACAUGCAAGUCGAACGGAAAGGCCCUGCUUUUGUGGGGUGCUCGAGUGGCGAACGGGUGAGUAACACGUGAGUAACCUGCCCUUGACUUUGGGAUAACUUCAGGAAACUGGGGCUAAUACCGGAUAGGAGCUCCUGCUGCAUGGUGGGGGUUGGAACGUUUCGGCCGUUGGGGAUGGACUCGCGGCUUAUCAGCUUGUUGGUGGGGUAGUGGCUUACCAAGUCAUGGACGGGUAGCCGGCCUGGGAGGGUGACCGGCCACAAUGGGACUAAGGUACGGCGCAGACUCCUACGGGAGACAGCAGUGGGAAGUAUUGCACAAUGGGCGGGAGCCUGAUGCAGCAGCGCCGCGUGCGGGAUGACGGCCUUCGGGUUGUGAACCGCUUUCGCCUGUGACGAAGCGUGAGUGACGGUAAUGGGUAAAGAAGCACCGGCUAACUACGUG